rnacentral:misc_RNA from 1 species
UUUCCGUAGGUGAACCUGCGGAAGGAUCAUUAAUGAGGGCGUGUGGGCUAAUAUCCCCGCGAACCCUAAUCCUUUGUUUACUGCCCCAUUGUGGUUUUUACUUGGGCGCGGUUUGACUGGUGCCCAAAAGGCUGUGUCUCACACCCUCCCAAAAAAUAAAAAACCACAAGACAAAAAAAAAAUCUUAAUAAAAACACAAUUGAUGUCUGAAGUAAAUUAUUUAAACAAGCAAAACUUUCAACAACGGAUCUCUUGGUUCCGGCAUCGAUGAAGAACGCAGCGAAAUGCGAUAAGUAAUGUGGACCGCAGUACUCAGCGACUCAUCGAAUCUUUGAACGCACAUUGCGCCCCUUGGUAUCACCAAAGGGCACACCUGUUCGAGCGUCAUCAUACAUCGAAUCAGGCCUGGGCGCCCGGGCUUGCAAUUGGGCUUUGUCUGCUUUAUGUAGAAGUCUAAAAGACAGUGGCGGUUAAGUUAGGCAUUCCAGCGUAGUGAUUAUAUUAGCUGUUGAAAUGUCUUUUACAUGACAGCCAGGGUUUCUGCUGGCGGAAACCCUUGGUUUUUAAUCAAUUAUUGACCUCGGAUCAGGUGAGGAUACCCGCUGAAUUUAA